UUGACAGCCCUGGAGAAUGAAUUCCUCUUUAUCCACAGAACAGGUAUAGCAUGGGUAGCAGUAGUAUAAACCUCUUCCUACCUUCCCCCCCCAAAAACUGUCCUUCACAGGUACCUCAGAUUUUUCAGACCACCUCAAUUAGUUCAGUCUCUUUAUACCUGGUCAUCCCUUGGUCUUU
rnacentral:sRNA from 1 species